CCUUUUCUAUUGUGGCUCAGGCCCAAGGUCUAGGCUGUUUCCCAAGGGUGAAGGUAAUUCACACAUCUGCCAAACAUGAGGGUCAAGUUUACAUCCCAGAGUUGAACUACUUCCUCAUGAUCGCAUGUGUUCUAGUUACUCUCAGCUUCAAAACCACAGAAAAAUUGGGGCAUGCUUAUGGUAUAGCUGUGGUUACUGCUGAGAUUAUAACCACAAAUAUGGUGACACUAGUAAUGCUUGUUAUAUGGAAAAUCAGCAUAUGGUGGAUUACCCUAUUCUACGUGGUGUACUUUUCCAUAGAAUCUACAUAUUUUUCUGCCCAGCUGACAAAAUUCACGCAAGGUGGUUAUCUACCCUUAGCCUUUUCAGCCGUGCUCGUGAUCAUUAUGGGAACUUGGCACUAUGCUCAAAAACUUCGAUACCAAUUCGAGCUCAAUAACAAGGUGUCAAGUGAGUACGUCAGGGACUUGGCUAAUAAUCCUGACAUCAAAAGAGUACCUGGAAUAGGAUUACUCUACUCUGAACUAGUGCAGGGAAUUCCACCUAUAUUUCCUCAUUUUGUCAACAAUAUUCCGUCAGUCCAUUCAGUCAUAGUCCUGGUGUCGAUAAAAUCCAUUCCCAUCAGUAAAGUAGCACUACAGGAACGUUUCUUGUUCCGACACGUUGAGCCAAGAGAAUACAAUGUGUUCCGCUGUGUAGUUAGGUUGGGAUACAAAGAUCAACUUGGGGAUACAGAGGACUUUGAAAACCAAUUGGUGGAACAAUUGAAUGAGUUCAUUAGACAUGAACAUUACAUUCUUGCAGCAGAUCAACAAGUAAUAACAGAUGGAGAGAUUGUACCACCAGUAUCUGGACAAUUAGUGUCCGGAAAAUCAUCCAGGGUCCACAUGGAGGAAGACUUACAGCGACAAGUGGAUUCUAGAGUUUCGUCAACUGGUUCAAUUCGAUCAAUGAACACUCCAGCAGCACAGUCCAAUCGUUCAUCAAGUAGAAUACAAAUGGUGUCCCCAAAUUUGGAAGAAGAAGAGAUGCAAUUUGUGAAAAAGGCAAAGGGACAAGGAGUGUUCUAUCUCCUGGGAGAAGCAGAGGUGGUGGCUAGACAAGAUGCUUCGUUCUUGAAGAAAGCAUUUGUCAACUAUGGCUAUAAUUUCUUGCGCAAGAACUUCAGGCAAGGGGACAAAGCUAUGGCUAUUCCUCAAACUAGGCUGCUAAGGGUCGGCAUGACUUAUGAAUUAUAAUUGUGACCUAGCUACUCCAAAAUCAUUCAGUGAAAGUGUACUAUCAAAUACUCGCAUAACAAACAAAGUGAUUUACAUGAUUUCUUGCAGUUUGUAUAUCUUUACAUUUUUAUCCUUUAAUGUUUGCAAGCUUUCAGUUUGAGUUUGAGUAAUUUAACUGUAUUGUUUCAAACUUGUUUGGAAAUGUAUUACAUACUCCUUCUCUACCCUCGAUUCCAAGUUCCAACUUGUUUGACACUAAAUUUAUCUGAUGAGAUCAAACAUUUUUCUACUAUUACAACUUUAUCAAUAGCAGAAAGAAUGACCUAAGUCGCUCGAAACUCCUUCAAAAGCAAACACCUAACAGUAUAAUUAAGCACUACUGGAAAAGCAAAUUUUCAUCAGUGUUAUAAAAGAGACAUGCACACUUAGAACUCCAUAUAAAGAGACUAAGAGUAACCAGUCCUUCCUUCCCAUGAAUCAUAAAGCCAAGAGUUCGUUUUAUCUCCCAAAUUUCGUCUAACAAUGGAACCUAAACCAAGAACUUAUGGUGCUCGCACUGCUUGUAAAGAAAUUUAAAGCUGAAUCAUCAUAGGAUUGUCCUGACGUUGAAGGAGGAAACUAAAUCAGGAAAUGAAUUCACAUGAAUCAUCUUUUCAGCAUCAUAUAGAGUCAAGUAAAUCAAAUUUAUUAGGCUGCUCAUGUUCAUGUCCAAAGUAGUAGAAGAAAACGUAGAAAAGGGGAGAGAUUUCAGUGAACAGAAAAUAAUGAUGAAUGACAUAAGCCGGAUGUAUUCUAGACAUCAAAUAAGGAGGGAAAAAAAGCAAAAAAAAUUGAGAAAAUAGACAAGUGUAGAGGAAGAAAAUGAUAGACAAAGGAGGAAAGGAAAGAGAUUCAAGAAAAUAAAUAGAUGAUAAUAAUGCUGAAUAACAUAAAUAGGAUAUAAUUAAUGUUGUUCCAAAUUUUGUAGACAUCAAAUUAGGAGAAAAAAAAAAGCAACAAAAUGAGAAAAUAGAUAAAUGUAGUUGAAGAAAACGGUAGACAAAGGAGUAAAGGGGAGAGAUUUCAGGAAAAGAAAUAAAUGAUACCCCUAAUGAGGAAUGACAUAAAUAGGAUGUAUUUAAUUUGUGCAGAUUUUCUAGACAUCAAAUUAGGAGAAAAAGCAAAGUAAUGAGGGAAAAGUAUUUAAGUACUAUUUUAUCUAAGUUCAAUGAUCUGCACAUUUUAGUCUUUUCCUUUUCCAUGUCUUUACAUAUUCCAAGUUAAUUAAAAGAGGGAAAACUAUUAAAUCCUGACCUUUGAUUUACAUAUAUAUAAGAUUUAGAUUACAUAGAUUAGAGAUUAGAUUAUAGUUUCUGCAAGUACAAAGUAUUAGGGAUGAAGGGAAUUUGGGCUAGUGUCUGAGUUUUCUGAAGGCUUAUAAAGAGCAAAACUGGUGACUGGCAAAGCAAAAACAAAGAGAAAAGAAGCCCUUUUGUGAAUCGAAAUGGCGAGCGCAGAUAGUGAUCUUCAUACAGAAGAGGUUGCAGAAAACAAGAGAAACAACGGGCAGCUAAAAGGUCGCAAAGUCUCAUGGGCGAAGUUAUACCGUGUGGACUCCCUCAACUUGGAAGCUGGAAAAGUGUCAAAUUCUCUGGCUGGACAUGCCUCUAAGGUAUGGAUUUGUAAUUGGUGUCAGUGACAGAACUUGGAAUUUUAAUAAGGGAAUUCAAGAAAAUACAAGAAUUUCACAAAAGAAAAUCAAACUUGUGACCUAAAGCAGUUUUCGAGCCACCUUUGCCACUUCAGCGCACUACAAAAAAAAAAUCAGCUAAAAAAUUUGUUGGUAACUAUUGUUAAAUAACCGUAGUUAACAGGUUUUUUGCAUCGCUGAUCCGUCGUUAAAUAAGAUUAGCGAUGACAGAUUAGCAAUGGAUUUAUACUGUUUAGCGAUAGAAUGUGUCCAUCGCUAAUUCCUGUUAUUUUAUAGUGUAAUAAGUUCUCCUUAUAUCAAGAGGAUUUAAAAAAAUUAUUUAUAUAUAAAGAAAUUGUUUGCACUAUUUAGACAUUAAAAUUUUGUGAUAAAGAGCAUUCAAUUGAACCACUUCCUUUUAAUAUAGUUUUGUCUCUGAUUAGUGCAUCUUAACUCAUUAUAACAUGUCAUUUACUUUAUUUUCUGUAUUAUUAAUUCAGGCAUAUUAUAGAGAAUCAUACAUCUUAACCUGAUGCUCUAAAAAAUUAGAAACUAUCCACGCAAAAAAAUUAAACUACCAAGGCAUAUACUUAAGUUUUAUAUAGUACUGACUUUGUCAAUUCAAGAUUAAUACAAUUAGGUCAUUAGAAAUGUGAUUAUAAGUAACUGUCUAUAUUAAAUACUAUGAAUUAGUAGUCUGAAAAAAUGAUCCGAGGGUCUAUCGGAAACAGCCUCUCUAUCUCUAUAAGGUAGGGGUAAGGUCUGCGUAAACACUACCCUCCCAAGACCCCAUUUAUGGGAAUACGCUGGGUUUGUUGUUGUUGUUGUUGUUUAGUAGUCUGAAAAAUAAGCUAUGUAGUAACUUUGUAAAUUUGUAGCAAUCUGAAAAAUAUGGUAAGUAAUAACUUUGUAAAUUUGUACUGAUAUUAUAAAGAUAAUCUAUAGUGUCAAAUGUAUAAAUCAAUGUUUUGUACUAUAGCUAUUAGCUAGGUAUAUAGAUAAUCGAUGAUCAUUGAUGAUUAUACAUGUGAUAUUGUGCAUUAACUGCAGGAUGAUUGGAAGACGAUACUGAGUUUAGCAUUUCAGUCUGUAGGAGUUAUCUACGGAGACUUAGGGACUUCCCCUCUCUAUACUAUUCAAAGUACAUUUACUGAAAAAAUUGGAGAUAAGAAUGACAUUCUGGGCGUGUUGUCCCUCAUCAUAUAUACCAUAUUCCUCGUACCUAUGACUAAGUAUGUCUUCACUGUCUUAUGGGCAAACGACAAUGGCAAUGGUGAGUUAUAAGAUGUCCCUCACUGCUAUCUCAGUAGUAGUUUAAUUUUUCUGUCCCAUUUUAUGAACGCUAUCAUUAUAUGGAGAGUCAAACAGUUUGUCUUUGAUUAAAAUUGUCAAACUCUUCUUUAAUAUUUUGAAUUAGUAGUUAUGUUGUCUUACGACUAGCACUUUUGAAGUAGUUUCAUAUAUGUAAAUUUUAUUUCAAAAAAAUUGAAGAAUUUAUGCCCGAGCUCACACAAAAAAUUAAGUGCUAUGAUCGUUAACCCCAACAUGUUUAAUUAUUUGCUUCUUUUGCACACAGGGGGAGCAUUUGCGUUGUAUUCCUUAAUAUGUCGACAUGCAAAAGUGAGUCUCAUCCCAAACCAGGAGCCAGAGGAUAGAGAGCUUUCCCGCUACGGUCUGGACAUACCAUCAAAUCAAUUUAGAAGGGCUCAGAAUAUCAAACAUAAGUUGGAAAACACUAAAUUUGCAAGAUUGUUUCUUGUCUUCCUUGCGAUCCUUGGAACAUCGAUGGUCAUUGGCGAUGGAAUUAUCACUCCUUCCAUCUCAGGUCUCUAAAUAUCAAUAUACACUCUCUAUCCCAUCCCUUGAUCAUCAUAUCAAACUAGUACUGCCGAAAUUAGCUCAUAAAGAUAUAAACUGUCCAACCUGCUGAGUAUAUUUAAAUGACGAGUCAAUUUGGGCACAUCCCAAGUCAGCGCAUCUAAAGGUUGGGCUGGUCUUGAGGUAUAAAUAUGUAACCCAAAUUGAGCCAUAAUAUCACUUAUCAAAAGACUUCUAAAUUUUUUUUAAUUAGAUAUGUAAGAUAUAGUCAUACUCCCUCAGUUCUAUAUACACUACUAACAACAACAACGACCUAGUAAAAUCCCACAAUUGGGGUCUGGGCAGAGCAGUGUGUACGCACACCUUACCCAUUAUACACUAACAAUAAAAGAAUUUUUGUACUAUCAAGUCACCCAAAAGAAAACUAUAAGUAAUUGUCAAUAAUAAGUAGUACAAAUAAAAAAGACGGAAAACCUGCUACAACAGAAAAAAUAACACAAAUAAUAAUUAUAUAAGAUAAAUCAUUAUUUAAUCUGGUGUGUUUCAUGUGCAGUUCUCUCUGCCGUAAGUGGGAUCAAGCCUCUAGGCCAAGGUAUAGAAAUUAAAAGGAUGCUAAUGAAUUCUUCUUUUUCUCUUAUUCAAUUUCAAUGAUCAAACAACUGAAAAAAAUGGAUAAUGAUCCUUGCAGAAGCGAUUGUGGGUGUUUCCGUUGCAAUACUGGUAGCCCUCUUCUGUUUUCAACGUUUUGGUACAGACAAAGUGGGAUACUCAUUUGCUCCAGCCAUAUGCAUUUGGUUUUGUUUAAUAAGUGGUACCGGUAUGUACAACUUGUUCAAGCAUGAUGUGAGUGUCUUACGUGCCUUUAAUCCCAAAUACAUUUUUAACUACUUCAAAAGAAAUGGUAAAAAAGGAUGGCUUUCUCUUGGUGGAGUUAUCCUCUGCAUUACAGGUUAGAAUUUUAUUUACAGUAUCCGUAUAAUUAAACGGUUAUACCAUGCUACUUCACGUCUGUGUUCUUAUCUGGUGAAAGACUAUUUUAUGAAACUAUUACAGGAUCCGAAGCUAUGUUUGCUGAUUUGGGUCACUUUAGUGUGCGGUCUGUUCAAGUAAGUCUUCUGCAUUUUUUAUUUUCUUCUUUGCCCUAAGUAAUCAAAAAGAUGUACUUCCUCUUCCCUUUUUAUGUGGCACACUUUUCGUUUUAAAUUGUCCUUUAUUAUAUUUGAUAUUUGUUUCUAGUUUUUGGUCAAUCUAAGUGAACUCACCAUGUAUAUAUAUUGCAGAUAAGCUUCAGUUGCUUAGUAUUUCCAUCUAUCCUCUCUGCUUAUAUUGGGCAAGCUGCUUACCUUACAAAAUUCCCAGAAAAUGUGGGGAAUGCUUUUUAUGCCUCUGUUCCAGGCAAGUCUCCUAUAUAUAUGUGGCAAAUUUGUUAACUUUUUCCAUAUUCGUUAUAUAGAUAUUGAGGCCUUUUGGGUUAAAGCCCAAUGGGAAAACACUGUGAGGCACCAAAGAUCGGACCAAAGUGGACAAUAUUUUGGCAGUUGAGCCUGGGUCGUGAAAGAUAAACUAAUCAUAAAAUUAUUUACUUUAUAAAUACCAUGCAUAAUAUUGAUUUUGUUGGUGUUGCUUACAGAUCCACUUUACUGGCCAACAUUUGUAGUGGCUGUUGUUGCGGCCAUUAUUGCAAGUCAAGCAAUGAUAUCUGGAGCUUUUUCUAUUGUGGCUCAGGCCCAAAGUCUAGGUUGUUUCCCAAGGGUGAAGGUAAUUCACACAUCUGCAAAGCACGAGGGUCAGGUUUACAUUCCCGAGUUGAAUUACUUCCUCAUGGUUGCAUGUGUUGUAGUUACUCUCAGCUUCAAAACCACAGGAAAUUUGGGGAAUGCUUAUGGAAUUUGUGUGGUUAGUGCUGAGCUCAUAACCACAAAUAUGGUGACAUUAGUAAUGCUUCUUAUAUGGAAAAUUAGCAUAUGGCGGAUUAUCUUAUUCUACGUGGUGUACGUUACCAUAGAAUCUACAUAUCUAUCCGCUCAGCUGACAAAGUUCGUGCAAGGUGGUUUUCUACCUUUGGCUUUCUCAUUUGUGCUCGUGAUCAUUAUGGGGAUUUGGCACUAUGUUCAAAAACAUAGAUAUGAAUUCGAGCUCAAGAACAAGGUUUCAAGUGACUACAUUACGGACUUAGCCAAAAAUCCAGACAUCAAAAGAGUACCUGGAAUAGGACUACUCUACUCUGAAUUAGUACAGGGGAUUCCACCAAUAUUUCCCCACUUUGUCUCCAAUAUUCCGUCGGUCCAUUCUAUUAUAGUUCUGGUGUCAAUUAAAUCCAUUCCUAUAAACAAAGUAGCGCUGGAGGAACGGUUCUUGUUCAGACAUGUUCAGCCUAGAGAAUACAAGGUGUUCCGAUGUGUAGUUAGGUUAGGGUACAAUGAUCAACUUGGGAAACCAGAGGAAUUUGAAAACCAAUUGGUGGAACAUUUGAAAGAGUUCAUUCGAGAUGAAUACUAUAUUCUUGCAGCACAUGCUGAUCAAGUUGCAGAUAGAGAAAUUGAACCUGCAGUAUCUGGCCAACUAGUGGCUGGAAAUUCAUCCCGGGUCUACACGGAGGAAGAGCUGGAGCAACAAGUAGAUUCUAGAGUUUCAUCAGCUGGUUCGAUUCGAUCAAUGAACACUUCAGCAGCUCAGUCGAAUCAUUCAUCAAAUAGAAUACAAAUGGUCCCACCAAGUUUGGAAGAAGUAGAAGUGAUGCAGUUUGUGGAAAAAGCAAAGGAGCAAGGAGUGUUCUAUCUCCUGGGAGAAGCAGAGGUGGUCACUAAACAAGAUUCUUCAUUCUUGAAGAAAUUUGUUGUCAACUAUGCCUAUAAUUUCUUGCGCAAGAACUUCAGGCAAGGGGAGAAAGUUAUGGCCAUUCCCAGGACUAGGCUGCUAAGGGUCGGCAUGACUUAUGAAUUAUAAUUGUGACGUAUCAGACAGUAAUAAACUUACUACCAAAUACUCUCAUAACAAACAAACAGAGCAAAAGAUCUCUGCAUUUUUCCUAAAACUUUAUUUUUAUCCUUUAAUACUGUGUGCAAGCUUUCAAUUUGAGUUAAUGUACUAUUAAAACCUGUUUGGAAAUGUUUACUCCCUCUAUCCUCUCUAUCCCAUGUUCUAACUUUGUUUGCCCCUAUUAAUAUUGAUGACUUUCUACUAUUAAAAAACACUCCUUAAAUAGCUCUAAUUUGGAAGAAGUCUAGUCUAGUACUUCGGUAUGACCUUCCUAUAUGUAUGUAAUAAGUAUAAUUUCAACAGAUUAAUGAGUAAACGUAGAAAUUCACGCUGAAAACAUAUAUUGACCAAGGUGUUUCGACCUUGAAGUAGAAUGAGAAACAAGAAAAGGAACAAAAUUAGUCUGAUCAGCUUCUCUUCCCGAUAGAGCCUUAUCCCCACCAAUAAGAUUUGAUCAGCAUAUAUAACACUAAAUUUGUAUCUGUCCUGAACCAUUUACAUUCAGCAGAGCAAACAUUGGACUAAAAUCUUGGAGAGUUCAUGCUAAUAGCAUGAAGCACAAUACUACAAUAUUGCAUUUCAUUUUCAAAAAAUAUUUUCUGAACCAUAGAAAACUAGAAGAACAUCAGUAACAAGGUAAUACCUGGAUUUUUGAGCUGUCAAAUAUAAAACCAUUUAGGGCAUAUGUUUUGCCACUGAAAAGUACACAAAAGCAAAUUGACCAUGAGUCCAUGAUUUACCAAACGAACUACACAGAUCUGAACAGAAAAAGAAAGCAUACGAAAGAGAGCAUUAGCAAGUCAAAAUUAACUCCGAAAGAAGCACUUCAUGAAACAUCCCAAAAUAUACUCCAAUUGAUUUAUUACACUUAUUAUCAGGACAAUCAACACAUAGUUCCUUAAUUCCCUAUUACAUUUCAUGAUUACAACAAAUAAAAAAAAAAUUUAAAAAAAGUAGCAUUGUGUAAAGGAAUCAGUACAAAGUUCACCUACAAAAUAAAGAGAAGAAAGCAAACAAUCUCUAACGAGCAAAGUCACAGAGACUUACCGGUAGAACGACGGUUGCGAAAGGAAGGAGAAGCGGAGAGGCAAGUCUAGCCUCUUUCCAGUCACUGAUCAGCAUGGGCGAAGUAGCCGUCGAUCGA
rnacentral:lncRNA from 1 species